AUGUGCCCUCCGGCGGUUUGGGAAGCCGAGGCAUCCCGGAGUGGGGACCGGGAUCUGCGCCCUGGGGACUGCUGGACGAGACCAGAGGUGGCUGCUUCGGUGGGGGAACCGCUCCCGCCUCUCCUACUGCCUGUGCUCUGCUCCUGGGUCAGCGGGCAAAAGUCCAAGGCUCGGCAGCCCCCGGGGCAGCGACAAGAUCACUGGCACAGGGACCUCCGGCCGAGAGAGAGGAGAGUGACCGCCAGGAGUUACCAGAGACCGGGUGCAGGUGUGCCGGUGCCGAGGUUCGGCCAGCGCCAACUUCCGCCUCUCACAGCAGCCAGCGGCUUUCCCCGUCACAGCUGCCCAGGCCCCCAGCGGCAGGGGCAGAGCAGGCUUUGGCCCCCAGCCCUGCCUGCCAGCGCCGCGUGGACUCCAGACCAGCAGCUGGCCGUGGGGCCGAGCGGAGUGCCGAGGCCCAUUCAGCUGGCCGCGAGCCCUGCUCCCCAGAUGCAGAUCCGGCAGGGCGACGGCAGGCCGCACAGGAAGCCCAGGUGCAGCAGGGCCUCGGGAAGGGUGGGGGCCGUGCAGAGACCCGGCGGCCGGGCAGGAAGGCCACGGGGCAGCGUGACCCCGGGCGGAGGCUGCAGGACGCCAAGGUCGCCCAGGCCCGGAGGAAACCUCUGUGGCAGCUCUGCCCUCCCUGCAGGUUCUGCUUCCUGGCUCUGGCCCCGAGCCCGGGAGGUGACCUGCUGUGUCCCCGCCCUCCCUUCCCCCACGUGGUGUCCAGGCUCUUGGCCCCGCCUUCCCACCCCUUCCCCCCCACAGAGCAGAGGUCACCUGAGCCCCCCCACCGCACCCACCCAGCAUCCUCAGCCCCCCGGGCCAGGGGACUCACCGUGGCCUGCCCCAGAGCCACAGGGGUCUCAGGGCCCCUCUGGCCCCAGCCCCGCCCAGCCUCUUGACGGGCACCCAGCCUCCAGCCCCCGCUGUCCCUGCGCUCACCUUGCCCGGGCGUGUGGGGUGACACUGAGGAGGCACUGGCUUUCCCUGGGCCCCCCUCCCAGGUGCAGACAGCAGGUGCAGUGCCCCCCAGCAAGGUGGGGAGGGACCCCCUGGGCUGAAGCUGGAGGGCCCCUCCCCCAGCCAGUCCCGGGCCCCUGGGAUAUCCUCAGCCCUCCACCAGCACCGAGCAUCCUGAUUUCGGCCAGUGGCUGGUUGCCAUGGAAAUGUCCUUGGGACGUGGCGUGGAGAGGGCAGGAGAGGGAGAGGGAAGCCCCUCCACCCCUGCAGAGCCGCUGUCCGAAUCCGAAUCCGGGACUCCCCUUCCCCGCCCACCAAGCCCAGGGCACCGGGAUGCCAGACCGGCGUCUUCCUCCCUGGAGAAGACCCUGCGUGGGCUGCUGCCGCUCUGCCUGGCGGCCGGCGCAGGUGGGGAGGGAGGGGCCGGGCAAAUGAGCGAGUCAGGCGGUUAAUCCUGCUGCAGAUGUGUGCGAGCCGGGGCACACGCGCAGCCCUGCCUCCGGCUCCUCACUGUGCUCAGGGCGCUGGCCCCUCUGGGGAUUCCUGGCUGUUCCAGACGCCGUCCAAGACGAUGCACCUGGCAAGCCCGGGCGGCACAAAGCCUGGGGGGAAGCUGGCAGCAUGGGGCUGAGCCGGCAAGGAGCUCGUGGCUCCACACCGCGGACUCGGGCACAGCCGCCCGCCCAACACGGCGGUCCUCGGGCCACGUCUGGGUUCUGGCAGCCGCCUGGAGACUUGGAGGCCUCACUCGAGCCCCUACGCUGUGACCCACGUGCCUCCUCCCGGGGGUUC
ensembl:lncRNA